CUUUUGGAGUUAAAGAACUGGCAUAUGCUGAAGAGACAUAGCAGCAUGAAGAACAUUGAACUUCCUUCCCUCUCAAGUUUUGACCUUUCAAGUCCUGUCUGCCCCCAGACUUCUGGAUGACUUCAAGCAACAGAGAUAUAUUUCACCCAUCUUUGAUAGUUUUUGAAGAUAAAAAAUAAAAUAUUUGAGCACUUUCCUAUGGGAUUUCAAAGAUUCAAACACUCCAGGGGAGAGAUGUAGAACUCAGUACACAUCAUUUUGGUUUUUCCUCCUCCAAGUCUCCAUCACGUGGCAUCAAAAUAACAUUGGAUUAAAAUAAACAUCAAGGAAUUUCCACGAAGCAGCAUGGGAUGAUUGAGUGCUCAUUUUGCAGUGGAGAAGCCAAGAAGUAAACCCACGAAUGGCCAAUCAUGGG